rnacentral:rRNA from 1 species
CCGGCGAUGUCCGAAUGGGGAAACCCAGUGCAAUUCGUUGCACUAUCGUUAACUGAAUACAUAGGUUAACGAGGCGAACCGGGGGAACUGAAACAUCUAAGUACCCCGAGGAAAAGAAAUCAACCGAGAUUCCCCCAGUAGCGGCGAGCGAACGGGGAGCAGCCCAGAGUCUGAAUCAGCUUGUGUGUUAGUGGAACGGUCUGGAAAGUCCGACGGUACAGGGUGAUAGUCCCGUACACCAAAAUGCACAGGUUGUGAACUCGAAGAGUAGGGCGGGACACGUGGUAUCCUGUCUGAAUAUGGGGGGACCAUCCUCCAAGGCUAAAUACUCCUGACUGACCGAUAGUGAACCAGUACCGUGAGGGAAAGGCGAAAAGAACCCCGGCGAGGGGAGUGAAAAAGAACCUGAAACCGUGUACGUACAAGCAGUGGGAGCACCUUCGGGUGUGACUGCGUACCUUUUGUAUAAUGGGUCAGCGACUUAUAUUCUGUAGCAAGGUUAACCGUAUAGGGGAGCCGCAGGGAAACCGAGUCUUAACUGGGCGUUAAGUUGCAGGGUAUAGACCCGAAACCCGGUGAUCUAGCCAUGGGCAGGUUGAAGGUUGGGUAACACUAACUGGAGGACCGAACCGACUAAUGUUGAAAAAUUAGCGGAUGACUUGUGGCUGGGGGUGAAAGGCCAAUCAAACCGGGAGAUAGCUGGUUCUCCCCGAAAGCUAUUUAGGUAGCGCCUCGUGAAUUCAUCUUCGGGGGUAGAGCACUGUUUCGGCUAGGGGGUCAUCCCGACUUACCAACCCGAUGCAAACUACGAAUACCGAAGAAUGUUAUCACGGGAGACACACGGCGGGUGCUAACGUCCGUCGUGAAGAGGGAAACAACCCAGACCGCCAGCUAAGGUCCCAAAGUCAUGGUUAAGUGGGAAACGAUGUGGGAAGGCACAGACAGCCAGGAUGUUGGCUUAGAAGCAGCCAUCAUUUAAAGAAAGCGUAAUAGCUCACUGGUCGAGUCGGCCUGCGCGGAAGAUGUAACGGGGCUAAACCAUGCACCGAAGCUGCGGCAGCGACACGAUGUGUUGUUGGGUAGGGGAGCGUUCUGUAAGCCUGCGAAGGUGACCUGUGAGGGUUGCUGGAGGUAUCAGAAGUGCGAAUGCUGACAUAAGUAACGAUAAAGCGGGUGAAAAGCCCGCUCGCCGGAAGACCAAGGGUUCCUGUCCAACGUUAAUCGGGGCAGGGUGAGUCGACCCCUAAGGCGAGGCCGAAAGGCGUAGUCGAUGGGAAACAGGUUAAUAUUCCUGUACUUGGUGUUACUGCGAAGGGGGGACGGAGAAGGCUAUGUUAGCCGGGCGACGGUUGUCCCGGUUUAAGCAUGUAGGCUGGUUAUCCAGGCAAAUCCGGAUAAUCAAGGCUGAGGUGUGAUGACGAGGCACUACGGUGCUGAAGUAACAAAUGCCCUGCUUCCAGGAAAAGCCUCUAAGCAUCAGGUAACAUCAAAUCGUACCCCAAACCGACACAGGUGGUCAGGUAGAGAAUACCAAGGCGCUUGAGAGAACUCGGGUGAAGGAACUAGGCAAAAUGGUGCCGUAACUUCGGGAGAAGGCACGCUGGUGUGUAGGUGAAGUCCCUGCGGAUGGAGCUGAGACCAGUCGAAGAUACCAGCUGGCUGCAACUGUUUAUUAAAAACACAGCACUGUGCAAACACGAAAGUGGACGUAUACGGUGUGACGCCUGCCCGGUGCCGGAAGGUUAAUUGAUGGGGUUAUCCGUAAGGAGAAGCUCUUGAUCGAAGCCCCGGUAAACGGCGGCCGUAACUAUAACGGUCCUAAGGUAGCGAAAUUCCUUGUCGGGUAAGUUCCGACCUGCACGAAUGGCGUAAUGAUGGCCAGGCUGUCUCCACCCGAGACUCAGUGAAAUUGAACUCGCUGUGAAGAUGCAGUGUACCCGCGGCAAGACGGAAAGACCCCGUGAACCUUUACUAUAGCUUGACACUGAACAUUGAGCCUUGAUGUGUAGGAUAGGUGGGAGGCUUUGAAGCGUGGACGCCAGUCUGCGUGGAGCCAACCUUGAAAUACCACCCUUUAAUGUUUGAUGUUCUAACGUGGGCCCCUAAUCGGGGUUGCGGACAGUGUCUGGUGGGUAGUUUGACUGGGGCGGUCUCCUCCCAAAGCGUAACGGAGGAGCACGAAGGUUAGCUAAUCCUGGUCGGACAUCAGGAGGUUAGUGCAAUGGCAUAAGCUAGCUUGACUGCGAGCGUGACGGCGCGAGCAGGUGCGAAAGCAGGUCAUAGUGAUCCGGUGGUUCUGAAUGGAAGGGCCAUCGCUCAACGGAUAAAAGGUACUCCGGGGAUAACAGGCUGAUACCGCCCAAGAGUUCAUAUCGACGGCGGUGUUUGGCACCUCGAUGUCGGCUCAUCACAUCCUGGGGCUGAAGUAGGUCCCAAGGGUAUGGCUGUUCGCCAUUUAAAGUGGUACGCGAGCUGGGUUUAGAACGUCGUGAGACAGUUCGGUCCCUAUCUGCCGUGGGCGCUGGAGAAUUGAGGGGGGCUGCUCCUAGUACGAGAGGACCGGAGUGGACGCAUCACUGGUGUUCGGGUUGUCAUGCCAAUGGCACUGCCCGGUAGCUAAAUGCGGAAGAGAUAAGUGCUGAAAGCAUCUAAGCACGAAACUUGCCCCGAGAUGAGUUCUCCCUGAGACUUUAAGUCUCCUGAAGGAACGUUGAAGACGACGACGUUGAUAGGCCGGGUGUGUAAGCGCAGCGAUGCGUUGAGCUAACCGGUACUAAUGAACCGUGAGGCUUAACCUUACAACGCCGAAG